UUCGCGGCCUAAGAGGGGAGAGCGGUUUUGACACUGGAACUGAACGUCCAAAAACAGACUUAAUGCAACGUAGCUGCAGGAGGUGGGCCCUGAGAGCGAGCGUGUAGUUUUAAAGUGGUAAUUCCAUUUUGUAAUUAUACCUAGUAAGACGAAGUGAAUAAUGAUUAUGAUAAUAACUGAGGCCAUAAGUUAAACGUUUCGUUCUAAAUAUUACAAUUUUUUUUUUACUUGGCUGUAUAAACACAAUUGCUCAACUAUAGGUGAAGGAAGACUGGAAAGGCAGGGCAUGUCACCCCUUUCUCUCUCUCCCUUUCCUCAUCCCCCCUCCCUUCCUCCCUUUUGUUGAGACCCUUGGUGCUGAACCAGAGCCUUCCAGACUCCUCGCAAAGCAACUGGCAAAACAGAUAAGCUGUAUGGGACAGAUUGUGAAACAGACGCAGUGGUGGCUAGGUGGCCAGCUUGCCUGUAAGCCCUGACUGCUACUGCUCUGCUGGCAGAAGAGGAAGACAGACUGUGGGAAGGCUCUGAAGAUUAAAGUCCCAUGCAGUCACAGCCCUGAUGGAUCAUGGAGAGCACUGUUGCUCACCAACCUACGUCUGAGCUGCUACCAGGGCCUCCUCUGCGAGAACCCCCGAGUACAUCUGGAAAGAAACCGUCAAAACACUGAACCCAGUCACCUUUCUACCUGCUGAGCCGGGUCCUGCAGACCAUGACUGCACUGAAGCAGCCAAUGAGGUUUACUCCAGUCAUCCAAACCUCACAGACCAGCCUCUGCCUUUUCCAGACCACACCCUCUGCACUGAUGGAUGUAUCUUCCUGCUGGCUGGUAAGCGCCUGGCAGGCUAUGUGGUGGUAACAGAAACAACUGGUGGUACCCUCCCAGUGUUCUGGUCAGCACAGUGGGCAGAGCUGCCAGCCUGGAUCAGAGUCCUGGGAAUUGAGCAAUGGACAAAAGGUAAUCAUCUACAUGGACUUGAGAUAUGCUUUCACCACCCUACACAUACACGGACCUCUGUACAGGGAAAGAGGACUUCUCAGUGCAGGGAGUGUUAGGAAAAGAGAUGCAGAACAGAGAGGAGGCAGAAUGCGACUGACUGAAAUUAUUUAAGCCAGACUAAAUUUAUUCAGAGGAAAUAAAUCUGCAGAGGUGGGUGACCAACUGCUGGGGUGCACAUUGAUGGAACAUGCUGCAGGAGGCACUGACCCCAGGGGCCGGGCCUUUUUAUAUCUUAGGUAGGCUGGGGUUAGGGGUAGGAGUAGGGGGUAGCAGGCAGAGGUGAAUGUCUCCAUACUGGUUUUUCAUGUGGCUGCUGGGCCUCCAAACCUGGGGAAGAGUGUGGGGCUGGAGUGUAGACAAUAGGGUGUGAGACCGAAUUGAGAUUCAAGGACAAGGAAUAAAUUCUAUCUUUGGACAAUGAGUCAGAAUGGCUGAGGUUUAUGUCUUUGUUCCAUCAGGGGAAAAGGCCAUUAAAAACUGAGCUGAGAUAUUUUGGCCCCUGGAAGUGGUCUGGGAGCCUGCAGCUGCUGCUGUUAUUUACCGCUGAGGACAUCAAAAGGGAAAAGACCCCAUAACUAAGGGAAACCAGAAGGAAGACCUAGAGACAAAACAGGGAGCCACGAUGAUGAUUCUCCAGACCCCUUUGGCAAUAUGGAUUGUCUCGGCUUUGCCUGAACACCCAAACUGUCCCAGAAGAAGAGAACUGGAUAAUAGGAGAAAGGGUAUCAAGAGUUCAGAUAAGAGGGCGGGGUUGGGGCAGAACUCGGUGCUGUGGUGUAGUAGGUUAAGCAUCUGCUUGCAGCACCAGCAUCCCAUAUGAGCACCAGUUCAGGUCCUGAGUGCUCUAUUUCCCAUCCAGCUCCCUGCUGAUUGUCUGGAAGAUGACCCAAGUUCUUGGACCCUUUGCACCCAUGUGGGAGACCUGGAAGAAGCUCCUGGCUCCUGGCUUCAGAUCGGUGCAGCUAUGGCUGUUGUGGCCAUUUAGGGAGUGAACCAGCAGAUGGAAGACCUCUACUCUGUCUUUCCUUCUCUCUCUGUAAU